UACAGAGACCUCAAGCGUUAUCCGGAAUCAUUGGGCGUAAAGCGUACCGAUAGGUGGUCAUGAUAGUUUUGGGUAAAAGCCAGAAGCUCAACUUCUGAGUUUGCUCAAAAUACUUCACGACUAGAGGGGCAAAGAGGAGAUUGGAACGAACGGUGUAGUAGUGAAAUGCGUUGAUAUCGUUCGGAACACCGAAAGCGAAGGCAGAUCUCUGGGUGCCACCUGACACUGCUAGGACGAAAGCGUGGGGAGCGAAUGGG
rnacentral:rRNA from 1 species